CAAGUGGGGAAGGAUCUCUUUCUGGAGAUCCCUCCUUUUGGAGUUGUCUAGCAAGCCCCGGAUAAGGGAAUUUUUGUGGAGGAGGAUGGAUUCUUCUCCACCGAAGAAGCUCCAGCUUCUAGAGAGCAGCAGCAAGCUCAAGCCAAUGCAUGUAGACCCACUGGAGGGCAAUGUUGAGCCCAUGGAGGUGUACCUACCUCCACAGGGUGAACAGAUGAAAGUAGAUCUAUCGCUAUCAGGCCUGGGCAAGCACAUCAUGCUUGCCCAGAAACAUCUCUAUAUCCAUUGGUGGUGCAGCAGGAGCUCUCUAUUUCUAUCUUGGUGUUGAAGAGUCGCCGAAGAGCUUCUGCUCUCUAGAGUCCUUUUUUUUCCUCUGUCCCCCGUCCUCAUCCUUCCUUGAGACCUCUCACCUCUUCUUUCCCAAGCUCUGAGGAAAAGAGAAGGACUGAGACUGGUGUCCUCUAAGCUUCUGCACAGAGAAAACAGGAGUCCAGUGGAUGGCCCCCAGCUCUCUGUGGCCUCCAUGCAAGUCCCAAGGAUGAGGGCAGGACUGAGACUGGUGUUGUUAUGCUUCUGUACCACGACAAUGGGAGGCAUCCAGUGGAUGGCCCUGAGCUCCCUGCAGCCUCUAGGUGAGCCCUCAAGAAGAGGCUGGGACUGGGAUGGGGUCCUCUGAGUUGCUGUGUAAAGACAACAUGUGGAGUCUAGCCCUGAGUCCCUGCAGCCUGUAGGCAGUCUUGAAGAAGAAAGCAGGACUGGAUCUGGUGUCCUCAAAACUGCUGUGCUGGGACAAGAGGAGUCCAGUAGAUGGCCCUGAGAUCCUUGAUGCAAGUGCUAAAGAGGAAGGCGCGACUGGGACCGGCAUCCUCUGAGUUGCUGUGUUGGCACAAUAGGAAUAGUCCAGCAGGCAGCCCCAAGCUCUCAGUGGACUCUAGGAAAGCCCUGAGGAAGAGAGCAGGACUGGUAAUAGCAUCUUCUAAGCUGCUGUGUCAGGUCCAGGAGGAAUCAAUUAGGCAGCCCCAAGCUCCCUGUGGCCUUCAGGCAGCAUCAGAGAAGGUACAGAGGCAGCUUUCUGUUGGAGAAGCAGCAGACUUUGAUUUGGACAGGAAGAAGGACUCAAGUUCAGCAUAAUUCCAGUUGCUCCAUAAGGACUUCUAUUUCAAAACUGGACAAUGUUUAAAAGAACAAUACAAAAUAACAACGAUAAGAAAAACUUUGUUUCUUUUUUUCUGAAACAGAGCCAAGGUUCCAUCAUGAAAUGAGAGAGGGGAAAAUGGAGACAGGAAAGAAAACACGACAGAAGAUGAUAUUUGAACAGCUUGUUAAUUGAGGGGGUGGACAAAAUCCAGUCAUGCUCUUAAUUUGAAGUAUCUUGCUUUGCUUCUGUCUUCUGUAGAGUAAAUUUAUUAACUUAUUAAUAGGAUUUAUUUGAGAGCACUGCGCAUCUGUUCUGUUUUGAAGCUGCUACUCGCUAUAUGCUUAGACCCUUGGUAGCAAGAAAUAAGUAAUCAUAUUGGAUAUCCAAAAUGGCAACGUAUGAACAGGGCACGGUCAAGAAUCCCUUAGGAGUUUAGUUUUUAUGGAACUUCAACAUUUUUGUGCUGUAGAGAGAUAGUAAUUCUAAAACUUGAAGGAGCUGGGGUGGGAAGAGUGGGCUGAUGGCUACAUCUGCACAGGGAAGAAUAUUUUGGUUAUAAUUCUUGGGCGUCUGCCCAGCCACCUCUUCUUCCCACCUGCAGCAUUGCUCUCAGAAGGCAAAUCUAAACACUGUCAUCAGCAACAACAAGACAGCUCUCAGCAACUUUGUUCUGCAUCUUUCUCUAUUGCAGUAGGGGAAGAGAAGCUUGCAUCUGCUAUCUCCAAAGAGACCAGCAAGGGAGCUUGGUCUGCCUACUGAGAACAACUCUGCAGAUGCACCAGAUUUCAUUUUAUUGUAAUACCAAGUCAGCUUGCUGUUAUCACUCUAUGGCAUAACAAAUGAUAGUGUUUCAGGAGACUAUUUAAGAGUCUGUGUUAUAAUAAAGCAAGCUUCAAUGCUUU